AGUCCUGCACGUAGUCUAAGUUUAAAGCUGCCAGUACAGAACAGAAUGACUCUGGGUGUGAAAAGAUAGGAAAGAAAAGACAUAUUUCUAGAUGAAGCUUUAUUUUUUUUAAAAAGCAGUGUGCACAUGCUUGAUCAGAGGAUACAUUCUAGGCAAUUGAGGAACUUAUGCUUGCUAGCUAGAAGAGCACAGCCCAAGGAAAACCAUCCGCUACAGAAACUGGAUCUCUCCUACACUCUGUAGGGGGAAAAGAUUAUAAAGAAAAAAAAAAGUAAAAUGCCAAUGAUCAUCUUAUGUUGAGGAAAUGAAGUUAGUUGUCUCUCCUCGCUCAAGGCACAGGGAUUAGGCAAAAAUACAGAUUCCCAAGGAUGCUAAAAGAUGGAACACAGUGACAUGGUUGAUGUCAAGACUUCCAGACGAGACCUGCUGGUCAGAAGCCAGUCAUCUCCGUAUGAGAAGAUGUCUGAGCUGAACUACUACUACUGGAAACACUUUUCUGAAGACUUGGGGAGCUGUACCUAAUCCUAACGGGAGCACCCUGUAUUGAUAGUGAUGGAGGCCCAUCACAAACCUGAGGAAUCCUCUAUGAGAGUGAUGAAUGUUCACAUGAAAGAUGGAAAGAAAUGAGAAGCUCUGGACGUUGGAGGAUCCUGACUCAGUCCAUGAAGUGAUAAGAAAGAACUGGCAGUCGGUCCUCCCUUCCACUUCUCUUGGUGGGGAGCACAAGUAGAGCUGGGGCACAGGUGGGGACCAAUAGACACUGCUUGCAAAAACUCUCCAGUCAUGCGUGCAUGCAUACCCAGAGUGGAAUACAUAAAUGGACCAGCACUCAACAAAGACUAGUUUUUAUGGCCAA